GCCAGGUGUGGUGGCACACACCUGUAAUCCCAGAGGCUCGGGAUGCUGAGGCACGAGGCUCACAAGUUCAAGGCCAACCUCAGCAACUUAUCGAGGCCCUAAGCAACUUAGAGAGAACUUGUCUCAA
rnacentral:sRNA from 1 species